AAAGUCGAAAAUGCCCCAAAACAUUUGAAUCGGUUUGUCCAAUUUUCAUAUUUAAGUUAGGGUUUGAUUUCAACUUCUCCGAUUUUCCAUCAACACGAUUUCUUCCACUUCUUCUUCCAACACCAAUUUCUUCCAACUUUGAUUUCGCUACUGAUUUGAUUUCGACGUUAACACCAAUUUCUUCGUCCAACUCUGAUUUUGUCAACACCAAUUUCUUCUUCCAACUCCAAUUUCUUCAACACCGAUUUCCUCUCUUCCUCCUCUAAUUUCUUCCGCUUCCUUCUGUAAUUUCUUCUUCCUCUGAAUUCUUUCUCUUCCUCCUCCGGUUUCUUCCUCUUUCUCCUCCAAUUUCUUCCAUUUUCUCCUCUGAUUUCUUCCUUUUACUCAUCUGAUAUCUCCCACAUUGAUUCUAUUUCAGAUUAUACUUCUUCAGUUAGGGCAGUUGUUUUUUCUUCAAGUGCAAGAAGAAUGAGGUAGUACUCACAUGCUAGCCUGCUGAUUUCCUUAUGAUUAUCUUACACGGUAGCGGCCAUCUCCCCAGAAGAUAACUACACUGUUGCUCUGCCACUCAAAGACUCCGGCUAAAAGUAAACUUUAGGUGUUGGUUCUGUUAAUGUCUGUACACAUGUUUUGGUCAUAUAAGAACUAGUUUAGUAUGUUGAGGCCCAUUGAGACUUGGGUUUAUAUGUGAGUUGCACAUAUGUUGUAAUUGUAAAACCCUUUUGAUGUUAAAAGUGCUAAAGCAGGUCAGUUAGGCCGUAAGUGCUUCAAAAGGGUUGGUAAUUGUUGUCGUCACGCUCUCUUCCAAGUUAAGAGUGUAAUCUAGGAGAGGGUGUGACAGUAUCAUACCCACGACUUUGAAUAAAUAAUAAUGUUCUUGUACAUACAAGAUAAUUAUUAAAUAUUAAGUGGAAAUUUUUAUCA